AUGUCGCCGGUGCUCUCGCGCACGCAGGUGGAAGAUCCAGUGGACUGCGUCUUCUUGGAGUCCGGUCCAGACCUAUGUGCUCUGGAAGAGGAGCUGUCCAGGGCGGUGGUGGUGACCGUGGUGGGUUCGCAUCAGGCUGCAGAUCUGGCCUCGGCUGCAGCUGUUUUGGCGGAUGAUUUCGAGCUGUUGCCCGGUGACAUGUCAAUCAGAGAGUACUUUCCAGAGGAUUUUAUCGUCAUGUGCAGAUCAGUUGAGCUGAGGAACAGGAUGCUCAGGCGUGGCCGCGCUGGGACGCCGCUAUUCGACCUAGUGCUCUCGCCAUGGUCUCGCCGUUCGCGGGCAACCGGAAUCACCAUGCCCUUCCUAGUGCCGCUGGCGCUCCGUGGGGUGCCGGCGAAUGCCUGGACGCGGCGGACUGCAGAGGUGCUGCUACAUGGGCUUGGUAUUGUGAUUAAGGCCGCGUCUUCCACGGUGUCCCGUAAUGAUAUGGCGGAGUUCAGGGUCUGGCUUCGGACGAACGACCCGGCGAGGAUCCCUGCCAAGCGAAUUCUCGUGGUGGAGGAACAGGGCAGACGCGGCCAGCAUGCCAUGGCCGCGGGGAAUCAGGAUGAUGCUCUGUGGUACCCGGUUUCUAUCAGGCAGGUUGGUGAUGCGAUGCGGGUAGAUGAGCUGGUCGGGGCGGCACCUCCACCGCCCCCCCCCCUCUUCGCCUUCGGCUGA
rnacentral:rRNA from 1 species